GACGAACGCUGGCGGCGUGCUUAACACAUGCAAGUCGAACGGAAAGGCCCUGCUUGCCGGGUACUCGAGUGGCGAACGGGUGAGUAACACGUGGGUGCUCUGCCCUGCACUUCGGGAUAAGCCUGGGAAACUGGGUCUAAUACCGGAUAGGAGCCAUUUUUAGUGUGAUGGUUGGAAAGUUUUUUCGGUGUAGGAUGAGCUCGCGGCCUAUCAGCUUGUUGGUGGGGUAAUGGCCUACCAAGGCGGCGACGGGUAGCCGGCCUGAGAGGGUGGACGGCCACAUUGGGACUGAGAGACGGCCCAGACGCCGACGGGAGGAAGCAGUGGGGAAGAUUGCACAAGGGGCGCAAGCCUGAUGCAGCGACGCCGCGUGGGGGAUGACGGCCUUCGGGUUGUAAACUCCUUUCGCGAGGGACGAAGCUUUUUGUGACGGUACCUAGAUAAGAAGCACCGGCUAACUACGUG
rnacentral:rRNA from 1 species